CAACCUACAUAAUAGGAGAAAAUAUUUGCAAAUCAUAUAUAUAAGGGGUUAACAUCCCAAAUAUAUAAAGAACUCCUACAACUCAAUAGCAAACAUACACACACACACACACACAUACACACACACAUAAUUUAAAAAUGGGAAAAGGACAUGAAUAGACAUUUUUCCAAAAAAGACAUACAUAUAACCAACAGGUAUAUGAAAAGGUUCUCAACAACACUAAUCAUUUGGAAACUGCAAAUUAAAACCACAAUGAGAUGCCACCUCACACCUGUUUGGAUGGCUAUUAUCAAAAAGACAAGCAGUAACAAGUAUUGGCAAAGGUGUGGAGAAAAGAGAGCACUUGUACACUGUUGGUGGAAACGUAAAUUGGUACAACUAUUAUGAAAAACAUGGUGUCCUCCUUUCCUUUUUGCUGUAGGCCUGAGGAGUUGCUGCCAAAAUGGGCAAGUUCAUGAAAUCUGGGAAGGUGGUGCUUAUCUUGGCUGGAUGCUACUCUGGAUGCAAAGCCGUCAUCAUGAAGAACAUUGAUGAUGGCACCUCAGAUCGCCCCUACAGCCAUGCUCUGGUGGCUGGUAUUGACAGCUAUCCCCACAAAGUGACAGCUGCCAUGGGCAAGAAUAAGAUCACCAAGAGGUCAAAGAUCAAGUCUUUGGGAAAGUUUAUAACUACAAUCACCUAAGGCCCACAAGGUACUCUGCGGAUAUCCCCUUGGACAAAACUGUCGUCAGUAAGGAUGUCUUCAGAGAGCCUGCUCUUAAACGCAAGGCCCAACGAGAGGCCAAGGUCAAAUCUGAGGACAGAUACAAGACAGGCAAGAAUGAGUGGUUCUUCUAGAAGCUGCAGUUUUAGAUGCUUUGUUUUGGUCAUUAAAAAUUAAAAAGAAAAA